rnacentral:rRNA from 1 species
GACGAACGCUGGCGGCGUGCUUAACACAUGCAAGUCGAACGGUGAAGCGAGUGCUUGCACUCGUGGAUCAGUGGCGAACGGGUGAGUAACACGUGAGUAACCUGCCCAUCACUCUGGGAUAAGCACUGGAAACGGUGUCUAAUACUGGAUACGACCAACCCUUGCAUGGGGUGUUGGUGGAAAGAUUUAUCGGUGAUGGAUGGACUCGCGGCCUAUCAGCUUGUUGGCGGGGUAAUGGCCCACCAAGGCGACGACGGGUAGCCGGCCUGAGAGGGUGACCGGCCACACUGGGACUGAGACACGGCCCAGACUCCUACGGGAGGCAGCAGUGGGGAAUAUUGCACAAUGGGCGAAGGCCUGAUGCAGCGACGCCGCGUGAGGGAUGACGGCCUUCGGGUUGUAAACCUCUUUCAGCAGGGAAGAAGCGAAAGUGACGGUACCUGCAGAAGAAGCACCGGCUAACUACGUG